GACGAACGCUGGCGGCGUGCCUAAUACAUGCAAGUCGAGCGAAGUUUUUCUGGUGCUUGCACCGGAAAAACUUAGCGGCGAACGGGUGAGUAACACGUAAAGAACCUGCCUCAUAGACUGGGACAACUAUUGGAAACGAUAGCUAAUACUGGAUAACAGCAUUAACUGCAUGGUUGAUGUUUAAAAGUUGGUUUUGCUAACACUAUGAGAUGGCUUUGCGGUGCAUUAGCUAGUUGGUGGGGUAAAGGCCUACCAAGGCGACGAUGCAUAGCCGACCUGAGAGGGUGAUCGGCCACACUGGGACUGAGACACGGCCCAGACUCCUACGGGAGGCAGCAGUAGGGAAUCUUCCGCAAUGGGCGAAAGCCUGACGGAGCAACGCCGCGUGAGUGAAGAAGGAUUUCGGUUCGUAAAGCUCUGUUGUUAGGGAAGAAUGAUUGUGUAGUAACUAUACACAGAGAGACGGACCUAACCAAAAGCCACG
rnacentral:rRNA from 1 species